GAUGAACGCUGGCGGCGCGCCUAAUACAUGCAAGUCGAGCGAACGGACGAGAAGCUUGCUUCUCUGAUGUUAGCGGCGGACGGGUGAGUAACACGUGGAUAACCUACCUAUAAGACUGGGAUAACUUCGGGAAACCGGAGCUAAUACCGGAUGAUAUUUUGAACCGCAUGGUUCAAAAGUGAAAGACGGUCUUGCUGUCACUUAUAGAUGGAUCCGCGCUGCAUUAGCUAGUUGGUAAGGUAACGGCUUACCAAGGCAACGAUGCAUAGCCGACCUGAGAGGAUGAUCGGCCACACUGGAACUGAGACACGGUCCAGACUCCUACGGGAGGCAGCAGUAGGGAAUCUUCCGCAAUGGGCGAAAGCCUGACGGAGCAACGCCGCGUGAGUGAUGAAGGUCUUCGGAUCGUAAAACUCUGUUAUUAGGGAAGAACAUAUGUGUAAGUAACUGUGCACAUCUUGACGGUACCUAAUCAGAAAGCCACGGCUAACUACGUG
rnacentral:rRNA from 1 species